CUUGUUUGUUCUUAGGGUUCACUCACCACUGCGCCACUUCCCCUCAGCUCCCUUCCAUCUGAGUAAGAAGGAAAGGAAGAUAGAUCUUAGAAGGUUGUUGGUAUGGUGGACUUAGGUAAGAUUCUAUAAUAAUGGGUUUCUUGGAUCUUCCAAGACAAACACAUUAUUCAACCCUUACCAAGUCCUCCCAUCCCAACAAUUUUCUAGGAUUUUUCCCUUUCCUUAACUUCUCAUUUUCACUUGUUACUUUAAUUUGCUACCUGGGGCUGGCUAGUAGUAAGUUUCAAGGUAGAGUGUUGGAGUUAUUUGUGCAGGUUUAUCGGUAUUGAAGCUUUGGAGUUAUGGGUCGCAGCUUGUCAAAUUUUUUUUUUUUGUCCGACUAUAAAGUGUCUUGAGCAGAUCUUAACUAUAGGAGACACAUUUAAGUCCGUAUCAUUAAGAGACAAAAGAUGUAUAGGGAGGCAUGGAGCUUGCAUUAAACACUGUUGAAUUGGACUUUGUUUAGUACUCAUCAUCUUUUUCAGUCUGCUCCGUGUAUUGGCUGUCAAUAUAUUACAAGAGUUAAUACCCAAAAUCGUCCUCGACUAUAGUGGACAAUUCAGUAAUGUCAAUAUUUGAAUUUCGGGACAAUUCACAAGUUCAAAUUGACAAGUUCCUUGUGACAUUACUGAAUUGUCCCUAAAUUUGAACUUGUGAACUUGAAAUUCCAACUGCUUA